AACUUUCAGCAACGGAUCUCUUGGCUCUCGCAUCGAUGAAGAACGCAGCGAAAUGCGAUAAGUAAUGUGAAUUGCAGAAUUCAGUGAAUCAUCGAAUCUUUGAACGCACCUUG
rnacentral:rRNA from 3 species